rnacentral:rRNA from 1 species
CCUACGGGUGGCAGCAGUGAGGAAUAUUGGUCAAUGGCCGGAAGUCUGAACCAGCCAAGCCGCGUGAAGGACGAAGGUGCCAAGCAUUGUAAACUUCUUUUGUCAAGGGACAAAAUCAGGCUCGAGAGCCUGACCGAGGGUACUUGAAGAAAAAGCAUCGGCUAACUCCGUGCCAGCAGCCGCGGUAAUACGGAGGAUGCGAGCGUUAUCCGGAUUUAUUGGGUUGAAAGGGUGCGAAGGCGGACUGUUAAGUCAGCGGUAAAAGCCCGGGGCUCAACCCCGGCGAGCCGUUGAAACUGGCUGUCUUGAGAUGUCGAGAGGUAUGCGGAAUGCGCAGUGUAGCGGUGAAAUGCUUAGAUAUUGCGAAGAACUCCGAUUGCGAAGGCAGCAUACCGGCGGCAAUCUGACGCUGAGGCACGAAAGCGUGGGUAUCGAACAGGAUUAGAUACCCCAGUAGUC